GAUGAAGAACGCAGCGAAAUGCGAUAAGUAAUGUGUAUUGCAGAAUUCAGUGAAUCAUCGAAUCUUUGAACGCACAUUGCGCCCCUUGGUAUUCCGGGGGGCAUGCCUGUUCGAGCGUCAUUAUAACCCCUCAAGCUCAGCUUGGUGUUGGGGCCUGCCGACUGGCAGCCCUUAAAAUCAGUGGCGGCGCCAUCUGGCUCUAAGCGUAGUAAUUUCUCUCGCUAUAGAGUCCCGGUGGAUGCUUGCCAGCAACCCCCAACUUUCUAUGGUUGACCUCGGAUCAGGUAGGGAUACCCGCUGAACUUAAGCAUAUCAAUAAGCGGAGGA
rnacentral:misc_RNA from 1 species